rnacentral:tRNA from 2 species
GGGCGAGUGGCGAAAUGGCAGACGCGCUAGCUUCAGGUGCUAGUGAUCGUAAGAUCGUGGGGGUUCAAGUCCCCCCUCGCCCA